GCGCACAGGACAGUCCUCCAAAACGAAGAGUGAUCCAGCCCAAAAUGCCGACCACGCCACGGUUGGGAAAGCCUGCAGCACAGUUUUAAGUUAAAACUACUGAAACCUUUUCCCAUGUGCUGCCAAAGCCCUGGCCUCCUGAAGGAUGAAGAAAUACAACUAUUAAAGAAGAGAGAAAGAAGGAAACUUCUGCAGCUAUUUGAUCUGCUCAACAUCCAAGAACCGAUCUGGCAUGGAUUUUAUGGCUUUAUUUUGUUUUGCUUUGCUUUGUUUUUCCUUGAAUUCAUGAGUUGUUCUGAUGUUAUGGAGACAGUGUCAGUAAUAGUUCCAACCUCUUGCCUCCUGGGGGAGGUAAGAAACAA
rnacentral:lncRNA from 1 species